rnacentral:lncRNA from 1 species
CUACAGUGGUCCCAUGAGAUUUGCACCUAUAGUCCAGAGAAAAGACACACUGUAGUGUUUCAAAGGACUGGAGCCUCCCUACUGCAACAUGAAGGCACAUAGUUUUUAUGAGGUGUUAGGAGCUGAGCCCCUUCCUGACGGCAGCAAAUAAGCUGAAAGAUCUCUUUUGUCUGUGAGGACCAAAAUGAGAAGCAUGGACCUGGAGGAGAUUUGGGAAAGGACAUGAAGAAAUAGUACUGGGUCCCAAAUUUGGAUACCUGAGUCUCACCAAAAAAAGCAAUUCAGAGAUCAUUCAGUGACCUGCAAGCACCAGGACAAUGGGCUGGAAGGAAUAAGAGGACAGCAUACAAUUGCUCAGGUCUCUGCAGGUCCUGGGUAAUCACUCCAGUACGAGGGCCCAGGAAUGCUUCAUCAAGACAAGGACUCAAAAACAUGUCCACAAGAGAAAGGCCAAAGAAAAGUCCCCUUUUCCAAUGGGACACAAACCAAUUUUUUAUGCCUCUUAACUUGCUUUGCUACUCAGAGUUCUUCCCUGUAAGGCUUUGGUUUCUCAUGCAGAGAAAUUCGAGAUGAGUCCCUACUGUGGAACCUCCAGACAUGUCCAAACAUAUCUAAAUCCUCUAGCGACACUUUAUGCUGAAGUCUCUGAGCUCCUAAUACAUAAAAAUAAAAUUUGUUUUCCACCCGAAAAAUAUUUAACAUUGCGUCACUUGAAUUCUUCUGGUAUCCUUACUGAAAAAAUCAUCUUUUUAAGUGUCUCUCUCUUUCCGUCUAGCUGCUGAAUUUCUCAAGAGCAGAAUCUUGUUCUGAUUUUUCUUAUCAUUUUC